AGAGUUUGAUCCUGGCUCAGAUUGAACGCUGGCGGCAUGCCUUACACAUGCAAGUCGAACGGCAGCACGGGAGCAAUCCUGGUGGCGAGUGGCGAACGGGUGAGUAAUAUAUCGGAACGUGCCCAGUCGUGGGGGAUAACGUAGCGAAAGCUACGCUAAUACCGCAUACGAUCUAUGGAUGAAAGCGGGGGAUCGCAAGACCUCGCGCGAUUGGAGCGGCCGAUAUCAGAUUAGCUAGUUGGUGGGGUAAAGGCCCACCAAGGCGACGAUCUGUAGCUGGUCUGAGAGGACGACCAGCCACACUGGAACUGAGACACGGUCCAGACUCCUACGGGAGGCAGCAGUGGGGAAUUUUGGACAAUGGGCGCAAGCCUGAUCCAGCAAUGCCGCGUGCAGGACGAAGGCC
rnacentral:rRNA from 1 species